UACCUGGUGAUGAUAUCUAUGC
rnacentral:siRNA from 1 species